CGACGCCGGGGAAGCAGCCGCCAUUGUCCGCGGCUGAGGUUGGGAUUUGCUGUGUUCCUGGGCAGGUGCCUGGUCAAUCAGUCCUCGGGAUGGCAGCCAUCAACCCGUGGGCCUCCUGGGGUGCCCUUACGGACCAAUCUUGGGGGAUGACAGCUGUUGACCCAUGGGCCUCCUGGGGUGAGUCAAGAGCCUGGUCAGCUGUGGGCUGCCAUAUUGUGGCCUCUGGCUGUAGUGCUCUGCCACAGCUGGGGAAUAGAAUGGGGACCAGGUGGGGCUUUAGGGCAGGUGGUCCAGAUCUGUCUCUGUGCAGAGCUGGAACAAGGAGGAAUCAGAAAACUAGUGGCCAGGCGUGGUGACUCACGCCUACAGCACUUUGGGAGGCCGAGGCGAGUGGAUCACGAGGUCAGGAGAUCGAGACCAUCCUGGCUAACACGGUGAAACCCCGUCUCUACUAAAACAAAAUACAAAAAAUUAGCUGGGCGUGGUGGUGGGCGCCUGUAGUCCCAGCUGCUCGGGAGGCUGAGGCAGGAGAAUGGCGUGAAGCCAGGAGGCGGAGCGUGCAGUGAGCCAAGAUCGUGCCACUGCACUCCAGCCUGGGCGACAGAGCGAGACUCAGUCUCAAAAAAAAAAAGAAAA
rnacentral:lncRNA from 10 species